UCUAUUUGGAUUCCUUUGGCCUCUCUGUGCAGCAUCCUUCCUUCUGAGUGUGGGGCAGGACCCUCUCUGGAAUGGGGUCUUAGGACCUACAGUCAAAUAAGGUAGAUCAGAUGAUUUCUUUAUGGCCAGUUUUUACACAGAAAGGGGUGGGGCAAGUAUUAUGUUAAGGAUUUAUAGUUGGCUUUAGGGGAAAGGGGUUUUGGUUUCUGUGACUUACCUUGGGGAAGAGGGAUUCUAUUUCUAUGCCUAGCCUCAAGAGAUUGAGUGGUCAGAGACAGGAGUGCAGAAGAAUGACAGAGAGAAACUUUUGCUUCAGAGGCCUUCAUUUUGUGGUAGUGUUUUCUGAGCUCCAGCACAAGUAAUAGCCAUUUCUUCUCCCUUUCCUUUCCUGGCCUCUCAGAGUAGAAACACCUGUUUAAGGAUUCAGAACUAGGUGCUCUGGAGUUACUGCAGCCGUGGAUGGUCGCGGGCGGUAUGUCUUAGCGCCUGGCCUCGGGGCCCACUGGGUGUGUGGCUCUUGUCCCAAGAGAAACCAACAAUGGAAAUGCACUUCGGGUUUGAGACUGUAUCGGAGGAAGAGAAGGGGGGAAAAUUCUAUCAUGUCUUUGAAAGUGUGGCCAAGAUGUAUGAUGUGAUGAGUGACAUGAUAAGUUAAGUCUUGAUAUCCAUCGUGUUGGGAAGGACUCGCUGCUCUGGAGAUGUGUCCAGUUCCUGGGACCCAGCUGCUCGAUGGUGCUGGAGGCACAGGCGCAGCAUCAGAGAAAGCAGAAGAGGCAGUUAAGGGUUCAGCAAAAUUUAUCCUGGGAAGAAAUUGCCAAAAAAUACCAGAAUGAAGAGGAUUCCUUGGGCGGUUCCCAUGUCAUGGUCUGCAACAUCAACAAGGAGAUGCUAAAGGUGGGACUGCAGAGAACCUUUGCUCAAGGACACAAAGUUGGACUUACAUGGGUAUUGGGAGAUGCUGAAGAACUGCCCUUUAAUGAUGACAAGUUUGAUAUUUACACCAUAGCCUUUGGGAUCCAGAAUGUUACACACAUUGAUCCGGCACUGCAGGAAGCCCAUCAGGUCCUGAAACCAGGAGGACGGUUUCUCUGCCUGGAGUUUAGCCAAGUGAACAAUCCCCUCAUACCCAGGCUUUAUCAUCUAUAUAGCUUCCAGGUCAUUCCUGUCCUGGGAGAGGUCAUUGCAGGAGACUGGAAGUCCUAUCAGUACCUCAGAGAGAGUAUCCGAAGGUUCCCAUCGCAGGAAGAGUUCAAGGAGAUGAUAGAAGAUGCGGGUUUCCACAAGGUGACUUAUGAAAGUCUAACAUCAGGCAUUGUGGCCAUUCAUUCUGGCUUCAAACUUUAAUGCCUUCCCUAUGUUGGAGUGUAAACCAGUCACAUCCUGUUGAAAGCCUGGAACUGAAGGAUAAUCUUGCAAAUGAGACAUCAGUUGAGUGUCUCCUCUUAAGGAUAUGUGCCUUGGACUCAUGUUCUGAAGUGACCAAUCUCAAAGUGGGAAGAAACAAAUGCCUGUCAGUUUUUGCAGCUUACAUUAGUUGCUGCAUCAGGCUCUCUGCCAGAGGUAUUUGGUCUGUUUAUUUGCUCAACUCCUGCUAAAUUUCUCUUGGCUGUGCAGUAUGUGGUUAGGAUAAAACCAGCACUAAAGCAUAGUUUGGAAGUGUAUUUGUAGCUUCUUUACUUGUGCUGCCUUUCAGAAGGACAAUGGAUCAUUGAACCCAAUGAUGAUUUUAACCAGAAAACUUAACUGUACCUGAAUCAACCUUUCAGCCUAGGACUGAGUCUAGGGCCAAAAGCCAAGACCCAAGUCAGAGGGCUAACAGUCACUACUGAAAUUGUGUGCUGAAUCAGUAAAUGAGUUUACAAUUUGGUGGUAUUUGCCAUUUUUUUUCUUGAGGGUGGGUAAAGGAAAUACAUUUUUUCAUCAUUCUUUUAGUCAUCUUCUACCAAAAGCUGCUAUGUGACCUCAGUCUUAUCAUAAAGAAAACCACUCGCUAAAUCCUUGUUCAAAGAAUAAAUGUACCAGCAAAAAAUAAAUAAAUAAAAAUAAAAAGGAUUCAGAACUAUUUCCAUGUGAUGAACAUUCAAGAUCUGGGCCUUUUUCCCGCACCAAAAAUAAAUAUCAGGAACCUCAUACUUUCUGACAAGAGAAAGUGGAAAACUAAUAACUGUUGUAACAUGUGGUAGGAACUACCCCAGCACUAUCAUGGGUAUUUUUCUCAUUUGGUCCUGCCAGUGAUCUUUGCCAGACACUGUUAUGCCCAUUUCAUAGAUGAUAACACUUAGGCACAGAGAGUGAUUUGCCAUAGCCAUAAGGAUAUGACAGAGCCAGAAGUUGAAAGCAAAUCUAUCUAAAUUCCAAAGCCAUGAUCUUUCUACCAGAGACUCUGGUAUUUGCCAUAACCAGAGUUGAUAGCUUAUGGUCAGCAUGCAGAGGUGGGAAGAGCCCUUGCAGUCAGCUGGGCCAGGAUUUGAGUCCAGCACUGUUACUUAGCAGCUUAGAAACCUUUAUCUAUAAAACAGAUAUAAUGGUAAUUCCUAACUCGGGUUGUUGUGGGGAUUAAAUGAGAUAAUGCAUGUACAGUAUUUUGUACAGUAUCUGACACAUAAAAUACUAUGUAUCAUUAGGAUAAUGUUAAAAGAAACAAUACUGAUAAAGAAGUUCAGCUCCUCAGAAAAUGAGAAUUCUUGUUGACUCUGCUACAGACCCUGGACAGUAGCUUGGGGAGACGAUAGGCAAUGGCUAAAAUGUGUUUAUAGGUUUAUCAACAAAAUUAAGUUGAGCUCCCUUGUGUUAUGAUACAUUUCUUUUAUCCUAGACUUCCCCAGGGUUUUACCAUAUUUAUUUUAACAAGAGACCAUCUUGGGAAACAGUUUGAACCCCAACUGGAAUUUAUUAUUUGAAAGCCAAGUAGGAAGGAGAACAGGGAUGCCAACAAAUAAAAUUGAAAAUAGGGUUUUUCAGUUUAAUAAAGUUAAAACCUAAACAACACCUAAAAGUUUUGGCUCUUAGUGGCUAAGAUUUGGCAGCUAUUAUGAGCCUGGAUCCAGGGGGCCUGUUUCAAGAACAGGGACACUCCUCUCUUUCUCUGCCUGCUUCCUCCUGCACGCUUAGCAGCAGGCCUGUAGGUCCCAAUGGCCAGAAUAAUGGAACUUUGCCCAAACCAACUACCAGAUAAGCAGGAACAACUCUGUUCAGAAGGAACAAAGCAGGCCUUGGUUCUACCAGUGGAAAUCAGGAAGUGAGUUGUUUGUAGCCAUCUAGAGAAUUGUCUCAUGUACUUGUCUCUUAAUACUGUUUAUGCUGGCUGCACCGUGAAAGAGUUUGAUAACACUGAGUUAGACAGUGACACCUAGUGCCACUGAGCCCUGUUCUUCCCUCUGCUGCCUCUAACUUGCAAACGAUGUC